rnacentral:rRNA from 1 species
GGCCGCGGGAAUACGGAGGGAGCUAGCGUUGUUCGGAAUUACUGGGCGUAAAGCGCACGUAGGCGGCGAAGCAAGUCAGGGGUGAAAUCCCGGGGCUCAACCCCGGAACUGCCCUUGAAACUGCCUUGCUAGAAUCUUGGAGAGGCGAGUGGAAUUCCGAGUGUAGAGGUGAAAUUCGUAGAUAUUCGGAAGAACACCAGUGGCGAAGGCGACUCGCUGGACAAGUAUUGACGCUGAGGUGCGAAAGCGUGGGGAGCAAACA